rnacentral:rRNA from 1 species
CACGUAGGGCGCAAGCGUUGUCCGGAAUUAUUGGGCGUAAAGAGCUCGUAGGCGGUCUGUUGCGUCCGCUGUGAAAACCCGGGGCUUAACCCCUGGCUUGCAGUGGAUACGGACAGACUAGAGGUAGGUAGGGGAGAAUGGAAUUCCCGGUGUAGCGGUGAAAUGCGCAGAUAUCAGGAGGAACACCGAUGGCGAAGGCAGGUCUCUGGGCAUUAACUGACGCUGAGGAGCGAAAGCAUGGGGAGCAAACAGG